rnacentral:tRNA from 1 species
GCCCCUGUAGUUCAAUGGACAGAACUGCGGACUUCUAAGCCGUUAAUGGGGGUUCGAUUCCCUCCAGGGGCACCA